rnacentral:lncRNA from 1 species
AAUAAGAAGAGAAUAGAGAGAGAGAGAGAGAGGAACUUUGCGGGCUAGAAAGAGAAGGCCCACGGAUAGGAGCUCGAGAAGGUGAGGAGGAAAAGGGUGAGAGAAGAGUGGCAGGGAGACUCCAGCACGGUCGACAUGUUAGAGAGAGCCAGAGAUGACAGAUUUAUGGGGACGAGGAGAGAUGGUUAUUUGGUUAUGUAUGGGUAGAGCGAAGGGGUGG